rnacentral:rRNA from 1 species
GAUGAACGCUGACCGAAUGCUUAACACAUGCAAGUCAACUUGAACUUCGGUUUGGGUGGCGGACGGGUGAGUAACGCGUAAAGAACUUGCCUCACAGAUAGGGACAACAUUUGGAAACGAAUGCUAAUACCUGAUAUUAUGAUUAUAUGGCAUCGUAUAAUUAUGAAAGCUAUAUGCGCUGUGAGAGAGCUUUGCGUCCCAUUAGCUAGUUGGAGAGGUAACGGCUCACCAAGGCGAUGAUGGGUAGCCGGCCUGAGAGGGUGAUCGGCCACAAGGGGACUGAGACACGGCCCUUACUCCUACGGGAGGCAGCAGUGGGGAAUAUGGGACAAUGGACCAAGAGUCUGAUCCAGCAAUUCUGUGUGCACGAUGAAGUUUUUCGGAAUGUAAAGUGCUUUCAGUUGGGAAGAAAAAAAUGACGGUACCAACAGAAGAAGUGACGGCUAAAUACGUG